rnacentral:rRNA from 1 species
UUCAGUUGAAUGAAGACCGUACCGUAAACCGACACAGGUGGGUAGGAUGAGAAUUCUAAGGCGCUUGAGAGAACUCAGGAGAAGGAACUCGGCAAAAUAGCACCGUAACUUCGGGAAAAGGUGUGCCCUUUGUAUGUGUAGCGCCUCGCGCGUGAAGCAGAAUAGGGUUGCAAUGAAAUGGUGGCUGCGACUGUUUAAUAAAAACAUAGCACUCUGCAAACACGAAAGUGGACGUAUAGAGUGUGACGCCUGCCCGGUGCCGGAAGGUUAAAUGAUGGGGUGCAAGCUCUUGGUUGAAGCCCCGGUAAACGGCGGCCGUAACAAUAACGGUCCUAAGGUAGCGAAAUUCCUUGUCGGGUAAGUUCCGACCUGCACGAAUGGCGUAACGAUGGCCACACUGUCUCCUCCUGGGACUCAGCGAAGUUGAAAUGUUUGUGAAGAUGCAAUCUCCCCGCGGCUAGACGGAAAGACCCCGUGCACCUUUACUGUAGCUUUACAUUGGACUUUGAUAACAUUUGUGUAGGAUAGGUGGGAGGCUUUGAAGUGGGUUCGCCAGAAUUCAUGGAGCCAACGUUGAAAUACCACCCUGAUGUUGUUGAGGUUCUAACCUAGAUCCAUUAUCUGGAUUGGGGACCGUGUAUGGUAGGCAGUUUGACUGGGGCGGUCUCCUCCCAAAUUGUAACGGAGGAGUACGAAGGUACGCUAGGUACGGUCGGAAAUCGUGCUGAUAGUGCAAUGGCAAAAGCGUGCUUAACUGCGAGACUGACAAGUCGAGCAGAUGCGAAAGCAGGUCAUAGUGAUCCGGUGGUUCUGUAUGGAAGGGCCAUCGCUCAACGGAUAAAAGGUACGCCGGGGAUAACAGGCUGAUUCCUCCCAAGAGUUCAUAUCGACGGGGGAGUUUGGCACCUCGAUGUCGGCUCAUCACAUCCUGGGGCUGUAGCCGGUCCCAAGGGUAUGGCUGUUCGCCAUUUAAAGUGGUACGUGAGCUGGGUUUAAAACGUCGUGAGACAGUUUGGUCCCUAUCUGCCGUGGACGUUGGAAGUUUGAGUGGACCUGCUCCUAGUACGAGAGGACCGGAGUGGACGCACCUCUGGUGUACCGGUUAUGACGCCAGUCGUAUCGCCGGGUAGCUAUGUGCGGAAGAGAUAACCGCUGAAAGCAUCUAAGCGGGAAACUCUCCUCAAGAUGAGACUUCCCGAGGGUUUAACCCUCCUAAAGGUUCGUCGAAGACUACGACGUUGAUAGGUCGGGUGUGGAAGCAUAGUGAUAUGUUAAGCUAACCGAUACUAAUUGACCGUGAGGCUUGAUCCU